GAUGAACGCCGGCGGUGUGCCUAAUACAUGCAAGUCGUACGCACUGGCCCAGCUGAUUGAUGGUGCUUGCGCCUGAUUGACGAUGGAUCACCAGUGAGUGGCGGACGGGUGAGUAACACGUAGGUAACCUGCCCCGGAGCGGGGGAUAACAUUUGGAAACAGAUGCUAAUACCGCAUAACAACAAAAGCCGCAUGGCUUUUGUUUGAAAGAUGGCUUUGGCUAUCACUCUGGGAUGGACCUGCGGUGCAUUAACUAGUUGGUAAGGUAACGGCUUACCUAGGCGACGAUACAUAGCCGACCUGAGGGGGUGAUCGGCCACACUGGGACUGAGACACGGGCCCAGACUCCUACGGGAGGCAGCAGUAGGGAAUC
rnacentral:rRNA from 1 species